rnacentral:pre_miRNA from 1 species
GUAGUAUUACCUCCAUCCCAAAAUUCUUGUCUUAAAUUUGUUUAGAUACGGAUGUAUCUAACACUAAAAUGUAACUAGAUACAUCCGUAUUUAGACAAAUUUAAGACAAGAAUUUUGGGACGGAGGGAGUACAAA